rnacentral:tRNA from 1 species
GGGCAUGAUUGUCGGUUGUAGCGAGCGGGACUCAUAAUCCCUGGGUCGCGGGUUCGAGUCCCGCCCGCCCU